UCCGAGUUGACCCCGGCAGUCUCCCAUGAGUCCCCACCACCCCGAAGGGCGUGCUGGCAACAUAGGACAGGGGUUGCGCUCGUUGCGGGACUUAACCCAACAUCUCACGACACGAGCUGAUGACAGCCAUGCACCACCUGUGAUGAGGUCCUAAGAAGGCGUGUUUCCACGCUUGUCCUCAACAUGUCAAGCCCAGGUAAGGUUCUUCGCGUUGCGUCGAAUUAAACCACAUGCUCCGCUGCUUGUGCGGGUCCCCGUCAAUUCCUUUGAGUUUUAGCCUUGCGGCCGUACUCCCCAGGCGGGGCGCUUAAUGCGUUAGCUUCGGCACGGGAGGAGUCGACACCUCCCACACCUAGCGCCCAUCGUUUACGGCGUGGACUAC
rnacentral:misc_RNA from 1 species